CUACGGGCCGCUGCAGUAAGGAAUAUUGCGCAAUGGAGGCAACUCUGACGCAGCCAUGCCGCGUGCAGGAAGAAGGCCUUAUGGGUCGUAAACUGCUUUUAUUUAGGAAUAAACCCCCGAACGUGUUCGGGGCUGAAGGUACUAAACGAAUAAGCACCGGCUAACUCCGUGCCAGCAGCCGCGGUAAUACGGAGGGUGCAAGCGUUAUCCGGAUUUAUUGGGUUUAAAGGGUGCGCAGGCGGGCUAUUAAGUCAGUGGUGAAAUCCCGGGGCUCAACUCCGGAACUGCCAUUGAUACUGAUAGUCUUGAGUUUGGUUGAAGUGGGCGGAAUGUAGCAUGUAGCGGUGAAAUGCAUAGAUAUGCUACAGAACACCAAUCGCGAAGGCAGCUCACUAAGCCAAAACUGACGCUCAUGCACGAAAGCGUGGGGAUCAAACAGGAUUAGAUACCCGCGUAGUC
rnacentral:rRNA from 1 species